rnacentral:rRNA from 1 species
AACGAACGCUGGCGGCAUGCCUAACACAUGCAAGUCGAACGAGACCUUCGGGUCUAGUGGCGCACGGGUGCGUAACGCGUGGGAACCUGCCCUUAGGUUCGGAAUAACUCCCCGAAAGGGGUGCUAAUACCGGAUAAUGUCUUCGGACCAAAGAUUUAUCGCCUUUGGAUGGGCCCGCGUUGGAUUAGCUAGUUGGUAGGGUAAAAGCCUACCAAGGCGACGAUCCAUAGCUGGUCUGAGAGGAUGAUCAGCCACACUGGGACUGAGACACGGCCCAGACUCCUACGGGAGGCAGCAGUGGCGAAUAUUGGACAAUGGGCGAAAGCCUGAACCAGCAAUGCCGCGUGAGUGAUGAAGGCCUUAGGGUUGUAAAGCUCUUUUACCCGGGAUGAUAAUGACAGUACCGGGAGAAUAAGCUCCGGCUAACUCCGUG